GCUUUUAUAGUUUAAAUAAAAAUUUUAAUCUUGUAAAUUAAAGAUUGGGCCACCAUAAGAGCU
rnacentral:tRNA from 1 species